UAAAUAAUGCGAUGGAAGCCAUUAUUUAUCAAUAAAGAAUAACCGUCAAGGUUCCGCGUAAUUAUGAAAACGACUUGGAUUAAAUUGGAGCAAUUGAAAUUUAAAGGUUUAAGUGCAAGCGGUGCAUACUUCAAACACCUAUAUGGUUAUUUUUCCCCUCAUUUCAAUCAAAUGAGGACACCUAUUAUCCCACCUCUUCAUUUACUCUUGCAUAUCAACAAUUAGAUGGAACAAAUAAACCAAAACCCUCAUCCUUUCAAGAUGCCGAAGCUAUCUUCUUCAACCUCCAUCAUGCUCUUUUGAGCACUUCUCACGGCGGCGAGCAUAUCUUGGAAUUCCGACACUUGUUUUCGGUUGAAGAGUCGACUCAUAUACGGACAAGACCCGGCGAGGCAACUACCGACGAGACCCGGAACUCGAGGAGCGUGACAUAGCGUUAUCCGGUUUGGAAACUAGGAAUAGCAAGUGUGUUUUAUUUCAGGUGAUAGUAUUUUGAAGGCAAGGACUUCCAUUCUUGUUCCGGAAGUCUGCAAUAUUUUAAGUAUAUGUAUUGAAGUAUGCUUCAAAUCCUAGCGCUGCAGCAGUCAGUAGAUGUCAGUAUAAAAAUAAUAUUUUGUGUCAAACGAUAUUUUGCUAUUAACUCUGAGAUGAUAAAUGUAUGUUCAUAGUUUAUAUAAAUCACGCUUUUUAUUCGUGUUA